rnacentral:rRNA from 1 species
AUUUUUAAACCUCUUUUGUCAGGGAAGAAAAAAAUGACGGGUACCUGAUGAAUAAGCAUCGGCUAACUCCGUGCCAGCAGCCGCGGUCAAUACGGAGGAUGCAAGCGUUAUCCGGAAUUAUUGGGCGUAAAGGCGUCCGCAGGUGGUCAAACAAGUCUGCCGUCAAAGACACAGAGCUUAACUCUGGAAAGGCGGUGGAAACUGUAAGACUAGAGAUCCGGUAGGGGUAGAGGGAAUUCCCAGUGUAGCGGUGAAAAUGCGUAGAGAUUGGGAAGAACACCAGUGGCGAGAGGCGCUCUACUGGGCCGGUACUGACACUCAGGGACGAAACGCUAGGGGAGCGAAAGGGAUUAGAUUACCCCUGUAGUCCUAGCCGUAAAAACG